rnacentral:rRNA from 1 species
AUACGUAGGGAGCGAGCGUUGUCCGGAAUGAUUGGGCGUAAAGGGCGCGUAGGCGGCGCGGUAAGUCUGGAGUGAAAGUCCUGCUUUCAAGGUGGGAAUUGCUUUGGAUACUGCCGCGCUUGAGUGCAGGAGAGGUUAUCGGAAUUCCCGGUGUAGCGGUGAAAUGCGUAGAGAUCGGGAGGAACACCAGUGGCGAAGGCGGGUAACUGGACUGUAACUGACGCUGAGGCGCGAAAGUGUGGGGAGCAAACAGGAUUAGAUACCCUGGUAGUCCACACUGUAAACGAUGAAUGCUAGGUGUAGGGGGUAUCGACCCCUUCUGUGCCGCAGUCAACACAAUAAGCAUUCCGCCUGGGGAGUACGGCCGCAAGGUUGAAACUCAAAUGAAUUGACGGGG